CAGGUCCCCACCAGAUGGAUGCAGAGGCCACAGCUUGCCAUCGACUCCACCAGCUACCACAGUUGUGCUAGGUCUAAUCUUUACAACAAAUCUCUUGUUCUGUAUCACUCAGAGUGGCUCUACUUCUCUGAUCAAACCUGGAAGUGAAACAUCCUUCUUCCCUGGGUCCCCAGGAUACAGUGACCUUGGUCACAUGGCUGCCCCAGAGAAAUUUCUUCCUGGUGAUUGGGCAAAGUCACCAUCAAAGCAGGAAGAAACCCAGGAUUGGAUUCGCUUAAAGCAAAGCCGCUCCAUGCAAAACAACUGAAUGAAGCCAGUUAUUUGGGUCAUCUGGACGUUUCACCUAAAGAGCAGCCAGAUCAGGUUGGCUGCCAUCCAUGUGAGCAUAAGAAGUCAGCAGACUUGGCCAAACAAAUCCUUCAGUUCAAUUUGCAUGAUGCAUACUUCAUAUCAGCAGUGAAGCCUCCAGAUGAGAUCUCUGCAUGGCAAGGUUGGAAGGAGCCUUUGCACCUUCCUUUGCUUAUGAACUCGACAAGUGCUACAAUUCCUAAUGGGGCCUCCCGCCAUAUGCAAGUCUCUGGUUUGCCAACCCCAAGACUCUAGGUCAUCUACGAGCAUAUUUCUUGUCUCUUCUUCACAGCAGGUUAUGGCUUCAAAGUAGAAUCCAAUUUUGUGAUUUUUAUGUCCUUUAUUAUGAUGAUAAACAACUUUUGCUCUUUGAAAAAUGAAUAAAAUAA
rnacentral:lncRNA from 1 species